rnacentral:misc_RNA from 1 species
CGCACAUUGCGCCCCCUGGUAUUCCGGGGGGCAUGCCUGUCCGAGCGUCAUUUCACCAAUCAAGCCCCGCUUGGUAUUGGGUGACUGGCCCGCCCUCGCGGCGGGCCCGCCCCGAACGAAUCGGCGAGGAGACCGACCCCCGGCGUGUUGAGAAUUUAACCAUUCGACGUCGGGAGCACCGGUGGCCUCCGCCGCGACCUAAACAUACAAGGUUGACCUCGGAUCAGGUAGGGAUACCCGCUGAACUUAA